UACGUAGGGGGCAAGCGUUGUCCGGAUUUAUUGGGCGUAAAGAGCGUGUAGGCGGCCAGGUAGGUCAGCUGUGAAAACUCGAGGCUCAACCUCGAGAUGUCGGCUGAAACCAUCUGGCUAGAGUCCGGAAGAGGAGAAUGGAAUUCCCGGUGUAGCGGUGAAAUGCGCAGAUAUCGGGAAGAACACCCGUGGCGAAGGCGGUUCUCUGGGACGGUACUGACGCUGAGACGCGAAAGCGUGGGGAGCGAACGGG
rnacentral:rRNA from 1 species